CCUCUGAAUGCUCAGCCACGAGGCCCCACCCCUCGCCUGGAGACCGUGGGCUCCUGAUGCUGCCAUGGGCUCCAGGCUCCUCUGCUGGGUGGCCCUUAGUCUCCUGGGGUCAGGCCCAGUGGACUCUGGAGUCUUGCAAACCCCUCAACAUCUGGUCAAAGCAAGAGGACAGCAGGUCUCCCUGAGAUGCACCCCUCUCUCUGGACACCUCUCUGUGUACUGGUACAAGCAGACCCUGGGCCAGGGCCUCCAGUUCCUUUUUCAGUAUUACAACAAGGAACAGAGAGAAAAAGGGGACAUCCCCGCUCGGUACUCAGCACAGCAGUUCCCUGGCCUCAGCUCUGAACUCAACCUGAGCUCCCUGGAGCCGGGCGACUCGGCUCUGUUCCUCUGUGCCAGCAGCUUGGCACAGCCCCACACGAAUGUCAGCCUUCUGUACAAAAUCAUUCUUGUCUGUGUCAGGAAGUGGCAGGAGGGUGGCGCCUCAGCCAGGCUGGUUCAGGCCUGGGAAGCUGCCAGCCUGUCCAGACACCUGUACUGA